AGGACGAACGCUGGCGGCGUGCUUAACACAUGCAAGUCGAGCGGAAAGGCCCUUCGGGGUACUCGAGCGGCGAACGGGUGAGUAACACGUGAGCAACCUGCCCCUGGCUCUGGGAUAGCUCCGGGAAACCGGGAUUAAUACCGGAUAUGACCCCCUUCUGCAUGGUGGGGGUGGAAAGUUUUUCGGCUGGGGAUGGGCUCGCGGCCUAUCAGCUUGUUGGUGGGUGAUGGCCUACCAAGGCGACGACGGGUA
rnacentral:rRNA from 1 species